GCAAUGGUGGUUCAGUGGUAGAAUUCUUGCUUUCCACACAGGAGACCUGGGUUCAGUUCCAACCAGUGCA
rnacentral:tRNA from 1 species